AAUUCUGGUAAUUACGAAAAUUUGGGCAAAACACAUCAAUGGCGGCAUCUCUAGGCAACUCUUCCCCAACUCUCCAAAUCCUCUGCAAAAAAUGCAAAUUCCCAAUAAACCCCUUCUUUUCAUUCUCUCACUAUAAUAAAUCCCAUAAUCUGGAUUCCUUCAGUUCCUUUUCCCACCCUCUCACGCGCUCAUACUGCCGCCGAUCCACUAUUCGAGCCGACUCGACCAACGCCGUCGAGCCUCCGAGAAAGUACGAUUUUGAUCUCUUUACUAUCGGCGCUGGCAGUGGCGGCGUAAGAGCUUCCCGCUUUGCCGCCAAUUUGGGGGCUUCUGUUGCCAUUUGCGAGCUUCCUUUUGCUACUGUAUCGUCUGAUUCUACCGGCGGCGUUGGUGGCACGUGUGUACUCCGUGGCUGUGUACCCAAGAAGCUUCUUGUAUAUGCAUCCAAAUAUUCUCAUGAAUUUGAGGAGAGUUGUGGUUUUGGAUGGAAAUAUGCAGCAGAACCAGAACAUGAUUGGAGCACCUUGAUUGCAAAUAAGAACGCUGAAAUUCAGCGACUCACUGGUAUAUAUAAGAGUACUCUGAAAAAUGCUGGUGUGGAACUAAUUGGAGGGCGUGGAAAGAUUGUGGAUCCACACACAGUGGAUGUGGAUGGCAAACUCUACUCAGCUAAAAACAUUCUUAUUUCUGUUGGUGGACGGCCUUUUAUUCCUGAUAUUCCUGGAAGUGAAUAUGUAAUAGAUUCUGAUGCGGCCCUUGAUUUGCCCUCAAAACCUAAGAAAAUUGCCAUAGUUGGGGGCGGUUACAUUGCUGUUGAGUUUGCUGGCAUCUUCAAUGGCUUGAAAAGUGAUGUCCAUGUAUUCAUAAGACAGAAGACGGUGCUAAGAGGCUUCGAUGAAGAGAUCAGGGACUUCGUUGGAGAACAAAUGUUAUUGAGGGGAAUUGAGAUUCACACAGAGCAGUCACCUCAGGCUAUUAUCAAAUCAUCAGAUGGUUCGCUUUCUUUGAAGACUAACAAAGGAACCAUUGAUGGGUUUUCUCAUAUUAUGUUUGCGACAGGACGCAAACCCAAUACAAAGAAUUUAGGAUUGGAGUCAGUUGGAGUUAAAUUGAAAGAAAAUGGAGCAAUAGAGGUUGAUGAAUAUUCUCAGACAUCUGUUCCAUCGAUUUGGGCAGUUGGAGAUGUUACUGAUAGAAUAAAUUUGACCCCAGUUGCUUUGAUGGAAGGAGGGGCAUUGGCAAAAACUCUUUUUGCAAACAAACCAACAAAACCAGAAUACAGGGCUGUACCAUCUGCAGUUUUUUCUCAACCACCUAUUGGACAAGUUGGUCUUACUGAAGAGCAGGCAAUAAAGGAAUAUGGUGAUGUUGAUGUUUAUACAGCAAACUUCAGGCCCUUAAAGGCUACUCUCUCAGGUCUUCCAGAUCGAAUUUUUAUGAAACUAAUAGCAUGUGCAAAGACAGACAAAGUUCUUGGUUUGCACAUCUGUGGUGAAGACUCACCAGAAAUUAUGCAGGGAUUUGCGGUUGCUGUAAAAGCUGGCUUGACCAAAGCAGACUUUGAUGCCACUGUGGGUAUUCACCCUACAGCAGCGGAGGAACUUGUCACCAUGAGGACACCUACGAGAAAGCUUCGGAGGACUCCAUCUGAGGGAAAAACGGAUUCUGAGUUCAAAGCCGCUGCUGGAGUUUGAUGCUGGUGAUAAAAACAAUCUACCUGCUCCUUUAAAAUUGAUUUUUGGUGCGCAAGAUGUAUGAAGGUCAUCUCCGAUGAUAGGAAGAUUAUGAAACCUCGUAUCUGGGCAUGAAGCUGUUUCUAGGGAGCCAUGGCCAUUGAUUUAUCUCUGUGAAUUCAAAGGUUACUAUCUGUAUCACAAGCUGAAUCCAUCAUAAUCUUAUGUACUGAUUUCUUUCCUUGGAUUAUCACUUUUUGUGUUAGUUAUACGAGCUACUGGAUGAGUUCUAUUGUCUAUAGUGUUUCUGUAUUUAUGAAUUAUCCAGUAUGAGUGAUCGUGUUUCGAGAAAGAAAUAUUCGACCCCAAAAAAGGCUCUUUUUUCAA